CUCCUGGAACAAGAAAAAGAAAACGAGAAAGAAUAAAGUGAGGAAAAGAAACGAAAUGGAAACGUGUCUUUCGUGUAUUUGCUUCUGUCAUGUGUAUACGCUUGAGUACAGUUGAACAUGUUUCGUGUAUAUGUGCACGCUUGCAUUUCUUUCACAUAUUUGUCAUUCUUAUGUAUGGUUUCGCGUGUAUUGAGCAUGUUUAGUGUGUUUGUGUGCACUAGUGUACAGUAUGAUGUGUUCAAUACGUGUUCGAAUCUGUACGCGUGUUUAUGCACAUAUUGAGUAUUAUACGUAUGUAUGUUGCGUAUGCGUACACGCGUGAAGCGAAUGGGUCGGAGAAAAGUAGAGGACUCGUGAGGUAUAGUAAUACAUUCGGCGUGUUGCGGCCGCUGUUAGCACCGUUAAACUAGCUUUUACUGUUCCGGCUGGUCCUUUGAACCACGCCGCCUGUACGGCAGCCACAGGCAAUAAAAUGCGUUCACCAUAAAGUGCCGCGUCUCUCUAGCCUCGUCACAGCUUCGACCACGCUCACGCAAUCUACCAAGCCCAUUGCACAUCCGGUUGCACCCUUUUUCCCUGAUCCAUGGGCUUUUCGUGAAAAUUCCGGAAUGAUUCUACAAGUAAAAUCUUUUAGGGAAAAGUAAGGAAUCGUCGAUUCUAUUCAAUUUCUCAUUUGAUAUGUAUACAUCUAUCGAAUUCGUGGAAUUAGGUUUAAUAAUAAUAUAUUAAGAAAUUUGGUCGAUUGUUAUAUUUCUAACUUUCUAAUCUUAUCUUAUAUUUAUUUCUGCAAUUAUUAUCAAUUGUCAAUGCAAAUUAAGAGAAAUAAAAAUGAAAAAUAAAGUGUGUAUUUAAGGACUGUAUUUUAAUAUUCUACGCAUGUGCCUUUCUUCUCUUUGUGCACAUGCGCAUUACAAAUUUCAUGAUUUGUGCAAUAGAUAGGUUAUUCAUAUAAAAUUUUUAUGAGAUUUUCUUUCUUUUUCUUAAAAGGAAUAUUUCUAGAUAUGAAUCAUUCUGAUUGUUCUAAUUAAUCAAUGUUUUCUUAAUAAAUAGAAAAGUUUAGUGAACAUUUAAUGAAUAAAGGUUUUAUUGUCAAUAGUUACUGUUAAGAUAGAUCAGUCAUAUAGAAAGAAUGUGUAUAUUGAAAACAUAUGAACAUAUUUAAACCAAUAUUAAAAAAUUUCUCACAAGAAUGAUAUUAUUAUUUUCACUUAAUUUAUGUGUUAAAUAAUCUCUUUCGUUCCACUCGUGAACAAUCGACGACUUCAUUACAAGUGGUGAAGGACCUUGCUAGUGAGCAGACCUAAGUUAACACAUUCACUGGCAUGACGGUCACGGAUAACCGACAUAGAACUUGACGUUUACACUUCAUUAGUCAUUGAUGGCCAUUAUGCAGUAUAUGUAUCAAUAAUUUUUUCCAACGAUAAUUUGCUCAGGUAAAUCAUCUAACUAUCCUAAACUAACAGAUAUGGAAUCCCUACUCGGAAAGAUAACCAAAGUACCAAACAUAUGGAGGGUAAAUAUCAAGGUAAUUGGAAGAAAGUAUAAAGAAUUUUCUGGUAAAUUGAGUCAGCCACAGAACGAGAUGGAAUUUUCUCCCUUUCAUAUUGCGGCGCAAUGAAAGUUUUCCAAUAAGAAACGAAAGAGCUAAUCAGAGUUUCCCAAGGCUCAAUGGCCCAUGCACUAACAUGUCUACGCCUCCCUACGCAUUCACUCCUUCGGUUACUGACUCCGCCUUUUCUUCUUUCCAAAAAGCAUAUCGAGAAUAUUCUUCCUGGUUGAUUGUUUAUAUUUCGAUUUCAGUGGAAUAAUAUGAAGAAGAAAAAAUAACUAUGGAACAAUAAUAGUUUAAUUUCAUAACAAUAUGGAAUUAUAGAUCAUUUAUUGUUUAUUAAUUGGAACAAAUAUUGAACAGAGAAAGAUAUCUAGAUUAGUUUAAUUUAAUAAUUUUAUAUUUUAUAUAUAUGCUAAUAUAAUAAUAUUAAUAUAUUUAUAGAAGUUUAAUGUAAAGUUUAAUUGAUCAAAACAAAUAUAAAUGGUGCAAAAAUA